rnacentral:rRNA from 1 species
UUGGGUGGGAUACUAUGGGUUGACGACGUGCUGGUUGACAGAGCGCGCGUACGGUUGGAUAAUUGAUGGUAGUUUGCCGGGCUUUGUGGGAUAACUGGGGGACGCUUGCUAAUACCGCAUCCGUCCUACGGGAGAAAGCAGGGCGAUCUUCAGACCUUGCGCUAUCGGAUGAGCCUAUGUCGGAUUAGCUUGUUGGUGAGGUAACGGCUCACCAAGGCGAAGAUCCGUAGCUGGUCUGAGAGGAUGAUCAGCCACAUCGGGACUGAGACACGGCCCGAACUCCUACGGGAGGCAGCAGUGGGGAAUAUUGGACAAUGGGCGGAAGCCUGAUCCAGCCAUGCCGCGUGUGUGAAGAAGGCUUUCGGGUUGUAAAGCACUUUCAGUGAGGAAGAAGGCUUCGGGGCCAAUACCCUCGAGGAAGGACAUCACUCACAGAAGAAGCACCGGCUAACUCCGUGCCAGCAGCCGCGGUAAUACGGAGGGUGCAAGCGUUAAUCRGAAUUACUGGGCGKAAARCGCGCGYAGGCGGCGUGAUAAGCCGGUUGUGAAAGCCCCGGGCUCAACCUGGGAACGGCAUCCGGAACUGUCAGGCUAGAGUGCAGGAGAGGAAGGUAGAAUUCCCGGUGUAGCGGUGAAAUGCGUAGAGAUCGGGAGGAAUACCAGUGGCGAAGGCGGCCUUCUGGACUGACACUGACGCUGAGGUGCGAAAGCGUGGGUAGCAAACAGGAUUAGAUACCCUGGUAGUCCACGCCGUAAACGAUGUCGACUAGCCGUUGGGGUCCUAGAGACCUUUGUGGCGCAGUUAACGCGAUAAGUCGACCGCCUGGGGAGUACGGCCGCAAGGUUAAAACUCAAAUGAAUUGACGGGGGCCCGCACAAGCGGUGGAGCAUGUGGUUUAAUUCGAUGCAACGCGAAGAACCUUACCUACCCUUGACAUCGUGCGAACUUGGUAGAGAUACCUUGGUGCCUUCGGGAGCGCACAGACAGGUGCUGCAUGGCUGUCGUCAGCUCGUGUUGUGAAAUGUUGGGUUAAGUCCCGUAACGAGCGCAACCCUUGUCCCUAUUUGCCAGCGAUUCGGUCGGGAACUCUAGGGAGACUGCCGGUGACAAACCGGAGGAAGGUGGGGACGACGUCAAGUCAUCAUGGCCUUUAUGGGUAGGGCUACACACGUGCUUCAAUGGCCGGUACAAAGGGUGGCGAAUCCGCGAGGUGGAGCUAAUCCCGAAAAGCCGGUGUCAGUCAGGAUCGGAGUCUGCAACUAGAGCUCCGUGAGAGUCGGAAUCGGUAGUAUUCGUGCAUCGCGAAAGCCACGGUGAAUCCGCUCCGGGGCCUUGAACACACCACCCGAACAGACCGGACGUUACUGCACCAGAAGAGCAACCUAUUUCGCAGGACCGUAUCUACAGGAUACGUGUUAC